GCAAAAAUUUGCCAUUGUUCUCCGUUUGGACAAGGAGGUUGGGUGAAGCUGCAUAGUUGUCACAUCUUCCCAAGAAGCAACAUUCACAUCUUCUCUCUCGCAAGCAUUUCUCAUUGUGCUCGAGAGCAUCUUGACCAUCACAGUCGCUCGAGAGCAUCUUCUCUCUCGCAAGCAUUCAUAUCUUCAGUGGCUCGAGAGCUUAUCCUUCACCAUCACAGAGCAUCUUCCUCACCUUUAGGUAAAGUUUUGGGGUUGCUUGGAAGUGGGCAGCUGGAACAAUCCAUCAGAGUCUCUUCUUAAUGAACUAAGAACCGUUGAGAGAGAAAGAGGUAAAGAGAAAAAUGUAGUAAGGUGGGUGUACACAUCUGAUACGAGUACCAUAACUCGUCUUCCACGCCAUGUUACAUGGAAGAGAGCUCGUCAAAGACCAUCUCGGGAGUACACAUCUGAGGAAACUGUGAGCAUAGUUAGGCGCAUUGUAAGUUCAUAUAAUAACAAUAUAUGAUCUCCCAUAUGUGAUUAACUUAACUUUAAAUAUUUGGUUGU